AUGAACGCUGGCGGCGUGCCUAAUACAUGCAAGUCGAACGAACUUCCGUUAAUUGAUUAUGACGUACUUGUACUGAUUGAGAUUUUAACACGAAGUGAGUGGCGAACGGGUGAGUAACACGUGGGUAACCUGCCCAGAAGUAGGGGAUAACACCUGGAAACAGAUGCUAAUACCGUAUAACAGAGAAAACCGCAUGGUUUUCUUUUAAAAGAUGGCUCUGCUAUCACUUCUGGAUGGACCCGCGGCGUAUUAGCUAGUUGGUGAGGUAAAGGCUCACCAAGGCAGUGAUACGUAGCCGACCUGAGAGGGUAAUCGGCCACAUUGGGACUGAGACACGGCCCAGACUCCUACGGGAGGCAGCAGUAGGGAAUCUUCCACAAUGGACGCAAGUCUGAUGGAGCAACGCCGCGUGAGUGAAGAAGGGUUUCGGCUCGUAAAGCUCUGUUGUUAAAGAAGAACGUGGGUAAGAGUAACUGUUUACCCAGUGACGGUAUUUAACCAGAAAGCCACGGCUAACUACGUGCCAGCAGCCGCGGUAAUACGUAGGUGGCAAGCGUUAUCCGGAUUUAUUGGGCGUAAAGCGAGCGCAGGCGGUCUUUUAAGUCUAAUGUGAAAGCCUUCGGCUCAACCGAAGAAGUGCAUUGGAAACUGGGAGACUUGAGUGCAGAAGAGGACAGUGGAACUCCAUGUGUAGCGGUGAAAUGCGUAGAUAUAUGGAAGAACACCAGUGGCGAAGGCGGCUGUCUGGUCUGCAACUGACGCUGAGGCUCGAAAGCAUGGGUAGCGAACAGGAUUAGAUACCCUGGUAGUCCAUGCCGUAAACGAUGAUUACUAAGUGUUGGAGGGUUUCCGCCCUUCAGUGCUGCAGCUAACGCAUUAAGUAAUCCGCCUGGGGAGUACGACCGCAAGGUUGAAACUCAAAAGAAUUGACGGGGGCCCGCACAAGCGGUGGAGCAUGUGGUUUAAUUCGAAGCUACGCGAAGAACCUUACCAGGUCUUGACAUCUUCUGACAGUCUAAGAGAUUAGAGGUUCCCUUCGGGGACAGAAUGACAGGUGGUGCAUGGUUGUCGUCAGCUCGUGUCGUGAGAUGUUGGGUUAAGUCCCGCAACGAGCGCAACCCUUAUUACUAGUUGCCAGCAUUAAGUUGGGCACUCUAGUGAGACUGCCGGUGACAAACCGGAGGAAGGUGGGGACGACGUCAAAUCAUCAUGCCCCUUAUGACCUGGGCUACACACGUGCUACAAUGGAUGGUACAACGAGUCGCGAGACCGCGAGGUUAAGCUAAUCUCUUAAAACCAUUCUCAGUUCGGACUGUAGGCUGCAACUCGCCUACACGAAGUCGGAAUCGCUAGUAAUCGCGGAUCACCAUGCCGCGGGUGAAUACGUUCCCGGGCCUUGUACACACCGCCCGUCACACCA
rnacentral:rRNA from 1 species